rnacentral:rRNA from 1 species
GACGAACGCUGGCGGCGUGCCUAAUACAUGCAAGUAGAACGCUGAAGGAGGAGCUUGCUCUUCUGGAUGAGUUGCGAACGGGUGAGUAACGCGUAGGUAACCUGCCUGGUAGCGGGGGAUAACUAUUGGAAACGAUAGCUAAUACCGCAUAAAAACGGUUGUUGCAUGACAACUGUUUGAAAGGUGCAAUUGCAUCACUACCAGAUGGACCUGCGUUGUAUUAGCUAGUUGGUGGGGUAACGGCUCACCAAGGCGACGAUACAUAGCCGACCUGAGAGGGUGAUCGGCCACACUGGGACUGAGACACGGCCCAGACUCCUACGGGAGGCAGCAGUAGGGAAUCUUCGGCAAUGGACGGAAGUCUGACCGAGCAACGCCGCGUGAGUGAAGAAGGUUUUCGGAUCGUAAAGCCCUGUUGUAAGAGAAGAACGAGUGUGAGAGUGGAAAGUUCACA